AGCAAAUGCAAACACUGUUCGUAAGUAUAGGCCCUUUGCAAAUGGCAACUACGUGUAGUAGACAGUGAGACAAUGAUAAUUUUAUUACUAUGCCUUCUGAGUCUGACAAUCUUUAGUACUUAGUAUCAUCCUGUUAAAAUGCUACUUAAAGUAGUAUAUUUUACAAAGCUAUAAAAUCGUCAAAACAAAUGAGAAACAUUUCAAUCUAUAGUUCUGGUAAAACACUUCUCAUUGAACUAUUUUAUUUUGGAGUGAAGUCAACAUCUG
rnacentral:lncRNA from 1 species